AGAUACCCUUAUGGGGCAAAACUUGCUUCAGUGGGGCUUUGGUGCUCACUGAGUCUGCCCCCUGAGUGUGUCCCU
rnacentral:pre_miRNA from 1 species